rnacentral:rRNA from 3 species
UUAAGAUACUAAGGGCGUAUGGUGGAUGCCUUGGCAUAGAUAGGCGAUGAAGGACGUGAUAAGCUGCGAUAAGCUACGGGGAGCUGCAAAUAAGCUUUGAUCCGUAGAUGUCCGAAUGGGGAAACCCGGCUGAGCGAAGCUCAGUCACUUCUUGACUGAAUACAUAGGUCUUGAAGAGCGAACCCGGAGAACUGAAACAUCUAAGUACCCGGAGGAAAAGAAAGCAAUUGCGAUUUCCCAAGUAGCGGCGAGCGAACGGGAAUUAGCCCAAACCAGUGCGGUUUCGGCCACACUGGGGUUGUAGGGCCUACAUUAUAAGAGUUAUGCGCAGAAAUCGAAGCUGACUGGAAAGCAGCGCCACAGUGGGUGAUAGCCCCGUAGGUGUAAUGCAAUUAACUCUUGUAGGAACCCUGAGUACCUCGGGACCGGAGAAAUCCCGUGGGAAGCUACCAGCACCAUCUUGGUAAGGCUAAAUACUUAUCUAUGACCGAUAGUGAACCAGUACCGUGAGGGAAAGGUGAAAAGAACGCCUCAAAGGCGAGUGAAAUAGUACCUGAAACCAUACGCUUACAAGCAGUGGGAGCCUUGGCCUUGUGCCAGGGUGACCGCGUGCCUUUUGCAUAAUGAGCCUACGAGUUACUCCUCACUGGCAAGGUUAAGGCCCUCAGGGCCGGAGCCGCAGCGAAAGCGAGUCCGAACAGGGCGCCACAGUCAGUGGGGGUAGACGCGAAACCAAGUGAUCUAUCCAUGGUCAGGGUGAAGCGUGGGUAAGACCACGUGGAGGCCCGAACCGCCUGACGUUGAAAAGUCAUCGGAUGAACUGUGGAUAGGGGUGAAAGGCCAAUCAAACUUGGAGAUAGCUCGUACUCCCCGAAAUACAUUUAGGUGUAGCGUUUUAGUUAGUGUGCUGGAGGUAGAGCACUGAUUGGACUAGGGCCCUUCACCGGGUACCAAAUCCAGACAAACUCCGAAUACCAGCACAUCAUCUAGGGCAGUGAGGGCGCGGGCGAUAAGGUCCGUGUCCGAGAGGAAAACAAUCCAGAUCGACAGCUAAGGUCCCUAAGUACAGACUAAGUUGUAGUUUAAAGGAAGUCAGGCUGCACAGACAAUCAGGAUGUUGGCUUAGAAGCAGCCAUUCAUUUAAAGAGUGCGUAAUAGCUCACUGAUCGAGCGGCCCGGCAUCGAAAAUUUUCGGGCAUUAAGUCUGACACCGAAGCUUCGAAUGUGUCCUGUUCGCAGGGCACGUGGUAGGGGAGCAUUCCAGUACCAUGGAAGCUGUGCCGUAAGGCAUGGUGAAGGUGCUGGAAAAGAAAAUGUAGGCAUGAGUAACGAUAAGACUGAUGAGAAAUCAGUCCGCCGUAAGCCUAAGGGUUUCUGUUCAACGUUAAUCGGAACAGAGUUAGUCGGGUCCUAAGCCGAGGCCGAAAGGCGUAGGCGAUGGAAAACGGGUUAACAUUCCCGUACCACCCACUCACGUUAAUGUAAGGCGUGACGCAGGAGCGUAAGGUCCGCGCACUGACGGAAUAGUGCGUUAAAGUACGUAGGCAGGGAGAAUAGGCAAAUCCGUUCUCCCGCUAAUGCUGAAAUACGACAGUAGGGGGAGCCUUCGGGCAAACCCAUAGUGACCCCAAGCACGCUGCCAAGAAAAGCGUCGUACAUUGUGAAGGGUGCUCGUACCCUAAACCGACACAGGUAGGCGAGGAGAGUAUCCUCAGGCGCUCGAGUGAUCCGUAGCUAAGGAACUCGGCAAAUUCGUCCCGUAACUUCGGGAUAAGGGACGCCCUUUCUCAUCCAAAAGCGAGAAAGGGCCGCAGAGAAUAGGCCCAAACGACUGUUUACCAAAAACACAGUCCUCUGCUAAAUCGUAAGAUGACGUAUAGGGGAUGACACCUGCCCGGUGCUGGAAGGUUAAGGAAGCUUGUUAUCCAGGUUCGCCUGGAAAAGCUCGCGACCGAAGCCCCAGUAAACGGCGGCCGUAACUAUAACGGUCCUAAGGUAGCGAAAUUCCUUGUCGGGUAAGUUCCGACCUGCACGAAUGGUGCAACGAUUUGGGCACUGUCUCAGCUACGGGCUCGGUGAAAUUGUGGUACCGGUGAAGACGCCGGUUUCCUACAGUGGGACGGAAAGACCCCGUGCACCUUUACUAUACCCUAACAUUGACAUUGACCAAAGCAUGUGCAGGAUAGGCGGGAGACGUAGAAGCGAUGUCGCCAGGCAUUGUGGAGUCGCCCUUGAAAUACCGCCCUUGCCUUGGUUAGUGCCUAACUCGCGACCGUUAUCCGGUCGGAGAACAUUGUUAGGCGGGUAGUUUGACUGGGGCGGUCGCCUCCUAAAAAGUAACGGAGGCUCUCAAAGGUACCCUCAGCGCGGUCGGUAAUCGCGCAUAGAGUGUAAAGGCACAAGGGUGCUUGACUGCGAGACAUACAGGUCGAGCAGGUGCGAAAGCAGGACUUAGUGAUCCGGCGGUUCCGAAUGGAAGGGCCGUCGCUCAAAGGAUAAAAGGUACGCCGGGGAUAACAGGCUAAUCUCCGCCAAGAGUUCACAUCGACGCGGAGGUUUGGCACCUCGAUGUCGGCUCGUCGCAUCCUGGGGCUGAAGAAGGUCCCAAGGGUUGGGCUGUUCGCCCAUUAAAGCGGCACGCGAGCUGGGUUCAGAACGUCGUGAGACAGUUCGGUCCCUAUCUACUGUAGGCGAAGGAGACUUGCGCGGAUCUGUCUUUAGUACGAGAGGACCGAGAUGGACGGACCGCUAGUGCACCUGUUGUGGCGCCAGCUGCAUCGCAGGGUAGCUAUGUCCGGAAGGGAUAAGCGCUGAAAGCAUCUAAGCACGAAGCCCACCGCAAGAUUAGGUCUCCCCAAUAGGUCGUUCAAGACGAGGACGUAGAUAGGCGACAAGUGUAAGCGUAGUAAUACGUUCAGCUGAGUCGUACUAAUUACCUAUAAGGCUUAAACCC